rnacentral:rRNA from 1 species
CACGUAGGGUGCGAGCGUUGUCCGGAAUUAUUGGGCGUAAAGCGCGCGCAGGCGGUCCUUUAAGUCUGAUGUGAAAGCCCACGGCUCAACCGUGGAGGGUCAUUGGAAACUGGGGGACUUGAGUACAGAAGAGAAGAGUGGAAUUCCACGUGUAGCGGUGAAAUGCGUAGAGAUGUGGAGGAACACCAGUGGCGAAGGCGACUCUUUGGUCUGUAACUGACGCUGAGGCGCGAAAGCGUGGGGAGCAAACAGG